rnacentral:sRNA from 1 species
AAAGCACUCCGAAAUUCAUCUAGUUAAAAGCCAUUCUAUCUAAGGGACAGGCUUGUACUCCUCAAUUACACUCUUGGGUUUCACAUAUCGGAGGUCAUACUUGUACUUGACGCUCAGCCCGAACGCAGGCGGGCCUCCGAUCUCAAGGCCCCGUUCCGUUGUCCACAGCGGGUGCGGGGCAGCUACCAUGAGAAUGAUUUUGAGGCCAUACCUAAAUAUACAGUGUUAGCGAAAUGAUGACGACUGCGGAAGAUAUUCGUGGCGAUUUAUUUUUUCUUCACGCACCUGUAUUCCGGAGCUCCUACGGCCUCGCCUGUUGAUACGUCGAGGAGCAUGAUCAAGUCCGGAACAACGGCGAGGUACUUGUUGCAGGAGAGUUAGUUAUUACAUCAAAAAUACAGAUAAACAAGCAGUGGAAGUCACCUCCUCAGACCCAUCGGAGUAAACCCCCUUGGCGCUCAGAUUCUCAUUGACAAAUUCAACAACCACCCGUUCCGGACCAUGAGACACCUCCAUGUCACCCACCCCUAACUCAUCGGGCGACAGUUGCUGCAGAACGACCUUCCCAGUCGUAUGCGCGGUAGCGGACAAGCUAUGUUCAACGCUGAUGAUUUUGCCGCGGAAUACCACCUUCGCGCUCUGCGCACCGCCGAACUCGCGAAUGAUAUCAUCCAUCACGG